CUAAGCAGUGGUCCAUUUCCUUCUUCAGCUCCUCGAAGGUGAAGGCCUCUGCCUGCUGUUCCAGUCCCAUUCGCCGCAGCAGGCCCACCAGCGUGCUGUGGUACCCGCGCAGCAGGUCCUCCAUGUGGUGCCGGUGGACGUCUUCGCUGGCGCUCGAGUACAGGAAGUACAGCAGGUCCGAGGCCG